AGAAUGUCGUAUCUCGGGCUGUGUCUGCUGCUGCUGUCAUCAACAACGGCGAUGGCGUUUUACAAGGAAGUUGAUGCUUCUUCAGUGACGUCACCCGUGCCUUGUGGGUCGUGGGUCUGGAUUCCCACGGGGGGGAGCGUCACCUUCACCUCGCCUAAUUACCCCGGCGACUACACCUGGUCGUUGUGUUACUGGAAG